AUGGUGGUUAAAGGAGAGGUCUCUGCCUCUGAAUUACUGACCCAAUUGAAUGGAAUCUUUGUUGGGAAUAAGGAGUGGCCAUGGCAAAUCAGAGAGUUGGAAAACAAGAUGUUUUUGCUGACGUUUCCACCUUGGAAAAAUGUGGAUGACCUGAUUGAGUUCCCUCCUUUUGAACUGCCUGUUGCUGGAGUGUCUGUUAAGAUCUGUGAAUGGGAAGGUAUGUUGGAUGAAUUUGGGGCACUGACUGAAGCCUGGGUGCAGAUUGAUGGUAUUGCACCCAAGUGGUGUGCAUGGAAGGUGUUUGCCCAGAUUGCUGCUUGCUUUGGUAUCCUUGUGGAUGUGGAUUGGAAUGGUAUUUUCAAAAGUUUCUAUGAAAAAAUUCGAGUUAAAAUUGCCUGUAGAGAUCCAAGGAAAAUUCCCUUUGAGAGAUUGGUGGAGAUGAAAAAGAAACUUUACUUACUGUUUUUUACAGUAGAAGGGUUUGAGCAGAUCGAUGAGAACAAUGAUGGAGAUGAUGAUGACCCAGAGCUGGACAAUCUUGAGGGAAAUGAGGAAAAUAACAAUAAAGAUACUGAAGAGAAAGAGGGCAUGGAAGAAGAUGAGGAGGAGGCAAUUGAUGAGUUGGAUAAGGCUAAUUUCCCUUCCAAGACUAACAACCGAACCAGCUUGAACAAAAACAUAUCUCAGGGUACUGCUUCUGCAGUGGAAAAACAUCCAUUUGACACAGUCAAUGACAUACAAACUCUGAUGUCAGAUGACUAUGAGAACUUAACACCAGUGAAAGUUUGUGAAGAUGAGAGUGAUCCAAGUUUGGGGUCUGGAAAAACUAAUGUGUUGUCAGUCCAUCUGGACUAUUGUUCUGAACAACUUAGCAAAUUUGAGAUGGAGGAAUCUUAUGGGGAAGAAGAUAACAUUAAUAUAGAUAUGAAAUGUUUACCAGAAGAUCUAACAAUGGCAAUGAACUCAGUUAAGAGAUCCCUACUUGAUUCCCUGGAAAAGGCAGAUAUUGUGGUCAAGAAAAAAUCAACAACAAAAACUCACCCACAUGGGGACCAGUGCUUGCUGACAAACCAAAGACCAGAACUCAUGGGAAUAUAA
rnacentral:rRNA from 1 species